AAAGAGGACUUUUUAAAGUCCACUUGCACUGGAAAUAAAAUCUUU
rfam:Ictidomys tridecemlineatus contig000757, whole genome shotgun sequence.